CUACGGAGGGUGCAAGCGUUACUCGGAAUCACUGGGCGUAAAGGACGCGUAGGCGGGUUGUCAAGUCUGAUGUGAAAUCCUAUGGCUCAACCAUAGAACUGCAUUGGAAACUGGCAACCUAGAGUAUGGGAGGGGGAGAUGGAAUUAGUGGUGUAGGGGUAAAAUCCGUAGAUAUCACUAGGAAUACCGAAAGCGAAGGCGAUCUCCUGGAACAUAACUGACGCUAAGGCGUGAAAGCGUGGGGAGCAAACGGGAUUAGAAACCCUAGUAGUCC
rnacentral:rRNA from 1 species